rnacentral:lncRNA from 1 species
AAUGCACUACGAUUGUUAUCAUAUAGAUCAUCCCAUGUAUAAUUAUCAAUUUUCGUCAUGCCGACGAUUUCAUAUUCCUUGCGGGCUGUGAAGGAUGCCAACUGAAAUAAGUCAUAAUCGACCCAUUGUUAUAGUACCAAUUUUCGUCUCUUGUAUAAUGAUAUCCUUGGAAAAAAAUAAAAUCUGUACUUUUGAACUUAAAGUGACCUGUAAAAUU